rnacentral:rRNA from 1 species
AUUGAACGCUGGCGGCAGGCCUAACACAUGCAAGUCGAACGGUAGCACAGAGGAGCUUGCUCCUUGGGUGACGAGUGGCGGACGGGUGAGUAAUGUCUGGGAAACUGCCCGAUGGAGGGGGAUAACUACUGGAAACGGUAGCUAAUACCGCAUAACGUCUUCGGACCAAAGUGGGGGACCUUCGGGCCUCACACCAUCGGAUGUGCCCAGGUGGGAUUAGCUAGUAGGUGGGGUAAUGGCCCACCUAGGCGACGAUCCCUAGCUGGUCUGAGAGGAUGACCAGACACACUGGAACUGAGAAACGGUCCAGACUCCUACGGGAGGCAGCAGUGGGGAAUAUUGCACAAUGGGCGCAAGCCUGAUGCAGCCAUGCCGCGUGUAUGAAGAAGGCCUUCGGGUUGUAAAGUACUUUCAGCGGGGAGGAAGGCGUUAAGGUUAAUAACCUUGGCGAUUGACGUUACCCGCAGAAGAAGCACCGGCUAACUCCGUGCCAGCAGCCGCCGUAA